CCCUAAACCCUAAACCCUAAACCCUAAACCCUAAACCCUAAACCCUAAACCCUAAACCCUAAACCCUAAACCCUAAACCCUAAACCCUAAACCCUAAACCCUAAACCCUAAACCCUAAACCCCGGAUCGUCGGACGACGCGACAGGCUGCGCGGUGCGCGACGGACAGAUUGCGAAAGAGCAGCGGGAGGGGCGCUUUUCAGUUGCUGGUUUGAUUUGCAAAAAAUUGCGUCUAACACCGCCUCGCCUCGACCGUCCGCGACCACCUCACCCGCUCGCCUCCUCCCGCGCGACAGCCUCGAACGGGGACUCGUCCAGGACGCGUCGCCUGUUAGAAUCCAGCCCCGUCUUCGCGCCGCCGCGGUCGCCGCGCUUCGGCUUCGGCUUCGGCUUCGGCAGCCGCCGCGCGCCGCCGCCGGCUUUCGCGCCGCCGCCGCCGCCGCCGCCGCCGCCGCCCGGCGCCUGCCCCCCCGUCAUCCCGCUCUCCUUCGACGCGUCGUGCCGCUUCCCCGCCGUCGGGUCCGUGCUCGCGCUCGUGUGCGUCGUCGUCGUCUUCUUCGUAUUCGUCGCCGCAGAUCCCGCGUCCGCGACCGCGAACANNNN
rnacentral:lncRNA from 1 species